GUGAAUUUUGGAAUAUGUCUGUGUUGGAAAUGUUAAUAUUAUUGUCCCUGAUGGCUCUCGUGCAGUGUGCCCCACCGGAGGAAUGUGAUAGGAACAACCCAUUCUCGUCUGUACUUGGAUUUCCACUGCAGUUCCCCAUGAAUAUGUUGAACGGUGUCAUGAAGAAUCAAUAAAGAUAUAAAUUAAUUUUUCCAAUCGGCUUUGUAAUUUAUGCAGGUUCAUUUUGACGUGUUAAUAAAUGAAAUUAUAUUUGUCCAUAAAACAAUA